rnacentral:rRNA from 1 species
CAGCCGCCGCGGUAAAACGGAGGGGGCUAGCGUUGUUCGGAAUUACUGGGCGUAAAGCGCACGUAGGCGGCUUGGUAAGUUAGAGGUGAAAGCCCGGAGCUCAACUCCGGAAUUGCCUUUAAGACUGCCGAGCUAGCAGGUGAGAGAGGUAAGUGGAAUUCCGAGUGUAGAGGUGAAAUUCGUAGAUAUUCGGAAGAACACCAGUGGCGAAGGCGGCUUACUGGCUCAUACUGGACGCUGAGGUGCGAAAGCGUGGGGAGCAAACAGGAUUAGAGACCCCAGUAGUCCCUGUCUCUUAUAU